AUUGAACGCUGGCGGCAUGCCUUACACAUGCAAGUCGAACGGUAACGGGCCUUCGGGUGCCGACGAGUGGCGAACGGGUGAGUAAUGCAUCGGAACGUACCUUUCAGGGGGGGAUAACGUAGCGAAAGUUACGCUAAUACCGCAUAUUCUGUGAGCAGGAAAGCAGGGGAUCGCAAGACCUUGCGCUGAUUGAGCGGCCGAGGUCAGAUUAGCUAGUUGGUGAGGUAAAGGCGCACCAAGGCGGCGAUCUGUAGCGGGUCUGAGAGGAUGAUCCGCCACACUGGAACUGAGACACGGUCCAGACUCCUACGGGAGGCAGCAGUGGGGAAUUUUGGACAAUGGGGGCAACCCUGAUCCAGCCAUGCCGCGUGAGUGAAGAAGGCCUUCGGGUUGUAAAGCUCUUUCGGCCGGGAAGAAAUCGUAUGGGCUAAUACCCUGUGCGGAUGACGGUACCGGCAUAAGAAGCACCGGCUAACUACGUGCCAGCAGCCGCCGCCGUAA
rnacentral:rRNA from 1 species